AGGACGAACGCUGGCGGCGUGCCUAACACAUGCAAGUCGAACGAGGUCCAACCGGUGGCAACACUGGUGAAGACCUAGUGGCGAACGGGUGAGUAUCACGUGAGCAACCUGCCCCGAAGACUGGGAUAACACCGGGAAACCGGUGCUAAUACCGGAUACCCCCACCGGAUCGCAUGGUCUGGUGAGGAAAUGAAUUUUGCUUUGGGAGGGACUCGCGGCCUAUCAGCUUGUUGGUGGUGUAACGGACCACCAAGGCUUCGACGGGUAGCUGGUCUGAGAGGACGAUCAGCCACACUGGGACUGAGACACGGCCCAGACUCCUACGGGAGGCAGCAGUGGGGAAUCUUGCGCAAUGGGCGAAAGCCUGACGCAGCAACGCCGCGUGAGGGACGAAGGCCUUCUGGGUUGUAAACCUCUUUCAGCAGGGACGAUGAUGACGGUACCUGCAGAAGAAGCCCCGGCAACUACGUGCCAGCAGCCGC
rnacentral:rRNA from 1 species